AGUGAACGCCGGCGGUAGGCCUAACACAUGCAAGUCGAACGGCAGCACAGUAAGAGCUUGCUCUUACGGGUGGCGAGUGGCGGACGGGUGAGGAAUACAUCGGAAUCUACUUUUUCGUGGGGGAUAACGUAGGGAAACUUACGCUAAUACCGCAUACGACCUACGGGUAAAAGCAGGGGAUCUUCGGACCUUGCGCGAUUGAAUGAGCCGAUGUCGGAUUAGCUAGUUGGCGGGGUAAAGGCCCACCAAGGCGACGAUCCGUAGCUGGUCUGAGAGGAUGAUCAGCCACACUGGAACUGAGACACGGUCCAGACUCCUACGGGAGGCAGCAGUGGGGAAUAUUGGACAAUGGGCGCAAGCCUGAUCCAGCCAUACCGCGUGGGUGAAGAAGGCCUUCGGGUUGUAAAGCCCUUUUGUUGGGAAAGAAAAGCAGCAGGUUAAUACCCCGCUGUUCUGACGGUACCCAAAGAAUAAGCACCGGCUAACUUCGUG
rnacentral:rRNA from 1 species